rnacentral:rRNA from 1 species
GGAUGAACGCUGGCGGCGUGCCUAAUACAUGCAAGUCGAACGAGUUCUGAUUAUUGAAAGGUGCUUGCAUCUUGAUUUAAUUUUGAACGAGUGGCGGACGGGUGAGUAACACGUGGGUAACCUGCCCUUAAGUGGGGGAUAACAUUUGGAAACAGAUGCUAAUACCGCAUAAAUCCAAGAACCGCAUGGUUCUUGGCUGAAAGAUGGCGUAAGCUAUCGCUUUUGGAUGGACCCGCGGCGUAUUAGCUAGUUGGUGAGGUAACGGCUCACCAAGGCAAUGAUACGUAGCCGAACUGAGAGGUUGAUCGGCCACAUUGGGACUGAGACACGGCCCAAACUCCUACGGGAGGCAGCAGUAGGGAAUCUUCCACAAUGGACGCAAGUCUGAUGGAGCAACGCCGCGUGAGUGAAGAAGGCUUUCGGGUCGUAAAACUCUGUUGUUGGAGAAGAAUGGUCGGCAGAGUAACUGUUGUCGGCGUGACGGUAUCCAACCAGAAAGCCACGGCUAACUACGUGCCAGCAGCCGCGGUAAUACGUAGGUGGCAAGCGUUAUCCGGAUUUAUUGGGCGUAAAGCGAGCGCAGGCGGUUUUUUAAGUCUGAUGUGAAAGCCCUCGGCUUAACCGAGGAAGUGCAUCGGAAACUGGGAAACUUGAGUGCAGAAGAGGACAGUGGAACUCCAUGUGUAGCGGUGAAAUGCGUAGAUAUAUGGAAGAACACCAGUGGCGAAGGCGGCUGUCUGGUCUGUAACUGACGCUGAGGCUCGAAAGCAUGGGUAGCGAACAGGAUUAGAUACCCUGGUAGUCCAUGCCGUAAACGAUGAAUGCUAGGUGUUGGAGGGUUUCCGCCCUUCAGUGCCGCAGCUAACGCAUUAAGCAUUCCGCCUGGGGAGUACGACCGCAAGGUUGAAACUCAAAGGAAUUGACGGGGGCCCGCACAAGCGGUGGAGCAUGUGGUUUAAUUCGAAGCAACGCGAAGAACCUUACCAGGUCUUGACAUCUUUUGAUCACCUGAGAGAUCAGGUUUCCCCUUCGGGGGCAAAAUGACAGGUGGUGCAUGGUUGUCGUCAGCUCGUGUCGUGAGAUGUUGGGUUAAGUCCCGCAACGAGCGCAACCCUUAUGACUAGUUGCCAGCAUUUAGUUGGGCACUCUAGUAAGACUGCCGGUGACAAACCGGAGGAAGGUGGGGAUGACGUCAAAUCAUCAUGCCCCUUAUGACCUGGGCUACACACGUGCUACAAUGGAUGGUACAACGAGUUGCGAGACCGCGAGGUCAAGCUAAUCUCUUAAAGCCAUUCUCAGUUCGGACUGUAGGCUGCAACUCGCCUACACGAAGUCGGAAUCGCUAGUAAUCGCGGAUCAGCACGCCGCGGUGAAUACGUUCCCGGGCCUUGUACACACCGCCCGUCACACCAUGAGAGUUUGUAACACCCGAAGCCGGUGGCGUAACCCUUUUAGGGAGCGAGCCGUCUAAGGUGGGACAAAUGAUUAGGGUGAAGUCGUACA